AUUUACUUCAAGUCUUUAUGCUCAGAUAGGCUAGCGGUGGGUGCGUCAGACAGAGUUACGGCACGCACAGAGAUGAAGGGGUAUGUAUGCACUUAUCUAACUCUGGGGGUUACUGUGAAUGAGCUAAAAUCCCAAAAAGUCAGCGUGUUCCUUUAAGUUUCCAUAUGUCCAUUAGAAAAUUAAAGGGAUAGUUCACCCAAAAAUGAAAAAUAAUGUCAUUAAGGACUCACCCUCAUGUCGUUCCAAACUUGUAAGACCUCCGAUGUUUUAUGUUUAGUCCGAGAGCUUUCUGACCCUACAUUGAAAAUCUAUGCACGGUAUACUGUCCAUGUCCAGAAAGAUAAUAAAAAACAUAAUCAAAGUUGCCAUUUGACAUCAAUGGGUCAGUUAGAAUGUGUUGAAGCAUCCAAAAAACAUCUUGGUCCAAAAAUGACAAAUUUAUUCAGCAUUCUCUUCCAUGUCUAUUGUGUAGCGCAUGUGUCUGACUAAAGUCUUGUGACGCAGAUGGCGUGUUAUCCUCAGAUAUGUUUGUGAAUUUUUUUCACAUUUACAGCAUUCGUCUCCCUCAGACUGUAAACAAAGCUCGGGCGCACAAAAAAAAGCGGGGACGCACCUAAUAACACAUCAGCCACGUUGUACGUCAGCUGCGUCACUGCAGUCAUGUGACUUUAGUCUCGUGCGCGUUCAAAACAGAACCGGAAGAGAAGACAAUGCUGAAUGAUGUCGUAAUUUUGUUAUUUUUGGACCAAAAUGUAUUUUCGAUGCUUCAACACAUUUUAACUGACCCACUGAUGUCAAAUGGCUACUUUGAUGAUGUUUUUUUAUUACCUCUCUGUUCCUGGACAGUAUACUGUGCAUAGAUUUUCAAUGGAGGGUCAGAAAGCUCUCAGACUAAAUCUAAAAUAUCUUAAACUGUGUUUCGAAGAUGAACGGAGGUCUUACCCUCAUGUCGUUCCAAACUCGUGAGUCAUUAAUUACAUUAUUUUCAUUUUUGGGUGAACUCUCCCUUUAAUUACAUGCUCAUACUUUAAUUAUGCCUGAUAAGAAUUUGUAAUAUUUGUGUUUAAACAUUUUUCGAAUUUUAAUCCUUGUUUUUAAAUGGCCAUGACAGUGACAAAAAGGAAGCAGCCUUCUCUAGCCCACCCAAGUUUCCAUCAAAGGAGCAAGCCUAUGUCAGUAAGAAGAAAGCUGGCUAACCCUCCCACCCCUUGUUUAACUCCUCCAGCCCAUCCCACAUCAUUGUAGAGUGAAGAGACUGCGGUUAAUAUUCAGAAAGAGGCGCAGAGAACUGAAGGCUUUCCUGACUUGACACCGAAUAAUAACAGAGGCCUGUGUGCUUUGCAGCAGCCUCCACGUCACCCUCUUCCAGUGCUCCGUCAGAGGACUAAUGAUAUGCCACAAGAUGAUUGGCAGCAAGACACACCCAGUGAUGAAGGGAUGUGCUCUCCUUAAAUCACAGCCUAUUCAUCAGGUACUCCUGAGUGCUGUGUUAAGAAAUCCUGCCUACAAAGUUCCACUGAGGCUGAUAUAAAGAUGACUGUGAGAAACUGGCUGCGGCUGUCUGAGCAGAGACAGGAAUGGGGGCAGCAAAGGCGGGACAAGCAAGCAUCUUAAGUGAAAUAAUUGAUUGGACUGAUUCUGGAGUAUGACUUAUUCUGGAGGGAAUUUCUUAUUUUUGUUGCAGUUUGCUAUGGGACGGUUUCAAGGACAGGGAUUAGACUAGUUCUAGACUAAAAUAAAUGUAAGAGCUGUCCAAACUGAAAACAACUUGCACUGACAUAUCAUAAAAUACAUCAGUGUAUUUUGUGAUGCUUCAAAAUGCACACAAGUAAUGUUUUUAUUAAGACAUGUUAUUAAAACUAGUUAUAUUUCAGAAUUAAACUAAGGCCUAGUCCCGGUUUAAGAUAAUCCCUGUCCGGGAAACCACCCCAAAGUGUAAUUUGUGGAGUGUUAAAAUAAAUGAAACUGCCUUUGCAAAAACAAAGUAAAAAAAAAAUUCCAGAUGCCCUUCUGUUUUGUUAUUUCUCCUGGAAAACUCACUGAUCCAUUUUUUUCUGUUAGACUGACAUUUACCAGGUUGUCAUAUUGUGUAUGAAAUACACCCUACACAUAACAAUCACUUACUUUCAAUUUAAACUUUUUUUGUCAUAAAACCUGGCAACUCAAAAGGAAGCGGCUGCAGACUGCGCAGCCACGGACGGAGUCUUGCAUGCAAGUGGGCUAGUUGCCUACUUCUCCACUAGCUCUUGUCAAAUUGUUAGGGAAGAAAUUUUAUGAUUAACACAACAUAAACUGUUAUUGAGGGUUGAUUGUUGUUGAUACACAAUAUGAAAUGAGUUAGCCUGCAGGGGUCUCCAACAUUGUGAGCAAGGGCUACAACAAUAUGUAUAAAACAAUCUGGAGGGCUACUUUUUUAUUUAUUCUACUCAAAACUUUUUUGUUUUACUUACUGAUUUUAUUUUAUUUUACUUUUUGAUAUGUUUUAGUAUUGUUUAACAUGUUAACAUACGUAAAC